UACAGAGGGUGCAAGCGUUAUUCGGAAUCACCGGGCGUAAAGUGCACGUAGGUGGUUUGGUAAGUUAGGUGUGAAAUCCCUCGACUCAAUCGAGGACAUGCACCUAAUACUGCUAGACUAGAGUAUAGGAGGGGAGAACGGAAUUUCUGGUGUAGAGGUGAAAUUCGCAGAUAUCAGAAGGAACAACAGUGGCGAAAGCGGUUCUCUGGACUAUAACUGACACUGAGGUGCGAAAGCGUGGGGAGCAAACAGG
rnacentral:rRNA from 1 species